GCUUACGGCCACAACUCCUGAGCACGCCGAUCUCGUCUGAUCUCGGAAGCUAAGCAGGGUCGGCCCGGUUAGUACUUGGAUGGGAGACCGCCUGGGAAUACCAGGUGCUGUAAGCC
rnacentral:rRNA from 1 species